rnacentral:rRNA from 1 species
AUUGAACGCUGGCGGCAGGCUUAACACAUGCAAGUCGAGCGGGGUGAUGGUGCUUGCACUAUCACCUAGCGGCGGACGGGUGAGUAAUGCUUAGGAAUCUGCCUAUUAGUGGGGGACAACAUUUCGAAAGGAAUGCUAAUACCGCACACGUCCUACGGGAGAAAGCAGGGGAUCUUCGGACCUUGCGCUAAUAGAUGAGCCUAAGUCGGAUUAGCUAGUUGGUGGGGUAAAGGCCUACCAAGGCGACGAUCUGUAGCGGGUCUGAGAGGAUGGUCCGCCACACUGGGGCUGAGACACGGCCCAGACUCCUACGGGAGGCAGCAGUGGGGAAUAUUGGACAAUGCGCGCAAGCCUGAUCCAACCAUGCCGCGUGUGUGAAGAAGGCCCUAUGGUUGUAAAGCACUUUAAGCGAGGAGGAGGCUACUUUAGAUAAUACCUAGAGAUAGUGGACGUUACUCGCAGAAUAAGCACCGGCUAACUCUGUGCCAGCCGCCGCAGUAAAAC